GUGGGGAAUCUUCCGCAAUGGACGAAAGUCUGACGGAGCAACGCCGCGUGAGUGAAGAAGGUUUUCGGAUCGUAAAGCUCUUUCGUUAGGGACGAACGUGCUCUUUGUGAAUAAUGAGGAGUAAUGACGGUACCUAAAUAAGAAGCCACGGCUAACUACGUGCCAGCAGCCGCGGUAAUACGUAGGGGGCAAGCGGUGUCCGGAAUUAUUGGGCGUAAAGCGCGCGCAGGCGGGAUAUCAAUUCUGUCUUAAAAGUGCGAGGCUCAACCUCGUGAGGGGACAGAAACUGUUAUUCUUGAGUGUCGGAGAGGAAAGUGGAAUUCCAAGUGUAGCGGUGAAAUGCGUAGAGAUUUGGAAGAACACCAGUGGCGAAGGCGACUUUCUGGACGAUGUCUGACGCUGAGGCGCGAAAGCUAGGGGAGCGAACGGGAUUAGAUACCCGGGUAGUCC
rnacentral:rRNA from 1 species